CUGGCUCAGGAUGAACGCUAGCGGCAGGCUUAACACAUGCAAGUCGAGGGGCAGCGGGAUGUAGCAAUACAUUGCCGGCGACCGGCGGAUGGGUGCGUAACGCGUAUGCAACCUACCUUAUACAGGGGAAUAACCUUUCGAAAGGGAGACUAACACCCCAUAGUAUUGAUUUAAGGCAUCUUAGAUUAAUUAAAUAUUUAUAGGUAUAAGAUGGGCAUGCGUAUGAUUAGCUAGUUGGUAAGGUAACGGCUUACCAAGGCGACGAUCAUUAGGGGUUCUGAGAGGAAGGUCCCCCACACUGGUACUGAGACACGGACCAGACUCCUACGGGAGGCAGCAGUGAGGAAUAUUGGUCAAUGGGCGCAAGCCUGAACCAGCCAUGCCGCGUGCAGGAAAAGACGGCCUUAUGGGUUGUAAACUGCUUUUACAUAAGACUAACCGUAUAUUUGCGAAUAUACCUGAAUGUAUUAUGAGAAUAAGGAUCGGCUAACUCCGUGCCAGCAGCGGC
rnacentral:rRNA from 1 species